rnacentral:lncRNA from 1 species
GAACAAGGGAGUACAUUUCAAAUUUCAAGCUUUGGGAAUCAGGCACCCGCCGGCAGAACAAGGGAAUACAUUUCAAAUUUCAAGCUUUGGCAAUCAGGCACUCACUUGCAGAACAAGGGAAUACAUUUUAAAUUUCAAUUUUUGGUAAUCAUGUGCGCACCUGGAGAACAAAGGAAUACUUCUCAAAUUUCAAGCUUAGGCAAUCAGGCACCUACCUGCAGAACAAGGGAAUAUAUUUCAAAUUUCAAGUUUUGGUAGUUAGGCGCCCACCUGGAGAACAAGGGAGUACUUUUCAAAUUACAAGUUUGGGUAAUCAGGCGGCUACGUGUAGAACAAGGGAAUACAUUUCAGAUUUCAAGUUUUGGUAAUCUGGCGCCCACCUGCAGAACAAGGGAAUGCAUUUCAAGUCCAACAAUUCGGUAUCAAACAUAGAAGAAGAGAAAACAAGAAAUUUUACAGGAAAAAAUACAGGUCAACAAGACAACAAGAAGUUUACAUGAAGAAAUACAAGGCAACAAAGCAACAAGGAUCAAGAGUAGUCUGAAGACAUAGAUAGGUUCUUUUGUAACUCAUAGUUCAUAGCUUAGUAUAGCUUCUUUUUAUUUUCACAAGGUAUAAUAAGGGGGUCUAACAGCAGCAGCAGCGAGAUCACAGCUUCGGCAGUCCCAGCUAUCAAACACUCCUAAACUACACUGACCUGAUUCCUCUUUUGCCGAGGAUAUGUAGGCAACCUCCGAAGCAAGGUGCGGUCAAGCUUUUCAAAAUGCUUCUCAUGGAGUACUCAACAGGCAAAAAUUUCUCAUGUCCUCACACUUUUCUUUGGGUGAAAACUCUUCGGGUUUUCAGGCAAAGAGGGGCAGCUGUGAGCAUGUGAUUUUUUCCCUAUAGGAAUUACUCCCAUAAAUCAAAAUAAAACCAUUUCUUUUGUUUAGCUACAAUUUUGGUUAUUUUUCGUGGCAUUUUCUGUUAAUGGUUUGCAUUUGUUCGUGCAUAUAUAUUUUAUCUUAAUUAUUGGAAAAUACAAAAAAGAUGCGGCAUGUGCAUUUUUUAUAUCUAGGUGAUUUCCUUUCUUUAAUUUUGCUUUAACUAAUCGUGAUAAUUAUUAUUUAUGAUAAAUUAGCACCCUUAUAGGUCAAAUUGUGCAUUUUAUUUUGUUUUAAUUUAGGUUUUUUAAAUUACUUUUGAAAAGGAAAAACAAAAAAAGGGAAAGAAAAUAAAAUCUAAAAGAAAAAUAAACAAAUAGGGAAAACAUAUUUGGGCCAGUCUUCAUAAUCCUCUCAGCCCAAACAGAUCUCCAGCCCAAUACACUACCCAAACCUGAUCCCUAACCCAGCCCAGCCCCACGGGCUACCAAAUGACACUGUUUACCCCUUAAGCAAUCCUGGACGUCGAUGAUUUAUGAUCUAACGGCCAGGAACUCGGUGUUCCUCACUAUAUAACGGUCCAAAUCCCAGCCCGCCCACCCCCCAAAUCUAGCCCGUCUCUAACCCCUCACAACCGGUACCCUAGCACCAUCCCACCUUCACUGCUCCUCCAUCUAACGCCGCCGUUCGGAAAUCGCCACCUCCGAUGACUCCCAAAAUUACACCACCCCACCUCUUCGACCUCUUCUUUUCAUUUGUGCCAUUGGAUUCCUUCGAAUUGCAGCCAAACGCGUCGAAUAUUCAAUUGAAUCGACGGCUUCUCCACCGUCCAUAGCGGCGCCGAUGCCAAAUGACUCCAAAUUUACACCAUGUACUCCCCUCAUCUUCCCCAAUCCGGGUCCCUAACCCAUCUUCGCCGAAUCACUCCAACACUCAUUGAAUUUUAGGUCAAAAUAGGACCCCGAAACCCUAAAAACCUGUCUCAAAUUAACACAUUCUCCCUUGUUAACACAAUUUCUUACCCGGAUUUCUGGCUAGCAGGCUAUAUAAAGAUUCAAACCUUCCUCGAUUCGUGAUUUGAACCGGUGACUUGGAACACCAAAAAUAUCUCAAGUGGCGAUUGUAAUUUUAUUAAUAAAUGAAUCCCGUUUUGGUUGUCCUUUAAUUGGAAAACUCCCUUUAUCUACGCCCUUCCCCGGGGUUGUUGUGUUAAAUAGGAGGUGUGACACCUCUUGGACAAUUGCUCCAGGUUUUGCCAUAUGCCAAUCUACUAAGAAAAACAUGAAACAUACACGUAAACAUACCCAUUUGCUUCCAGCUCAGGUUAUUUCAAAAACAAUGAACAAGUUCAAAAUAGAUUUCAAAUACAAAAAAGCAUGCACAAGUCCUCAUAAAACAGUCCUAGUAUAUUCAAAUGUUCAACACAAUCGAACUAAAAGCGUAUCUAAUUUGUAGUGUCCAUGAACCAAUGAACUUACACAAAAAUCCAGUACUAUUUGCAGCAUCUAACAUUCAUUAUAAAGAGGAAAGUCGUUCCACUAAACUACAUGAUUUAAACUCUUAAUUACAGACCAGUUUUUUCUGCCAGAAUACACUAAUUAAAACUCCAAAAGGCACACAAUAAGAGUUAACUCAAAGAAGAAAAGGUGAAAGCUAUAAGCAAACACAGAUUUCUCAUUCUCAAUUCAUGAUUUGAAUUAAACCUCAAGUGAUAUCCAUAAAUGUCAAAAUAUACCUGAAAAAAAGGAAAACAAAGAGAGGGAGAGAUUUAGUAGACUCAGCAACAACAAUAGCAGAAAAUGAGCUUCAGAUUCAACACCCAGAUAUUGAAACUAGCCCAGAAAUCAACAGAGUACCCCCUUGUUCAAUAAACUUCAACACCAAACUUGACAAAUCAGAUUCAAAUCAUUUUCAAUCCCACAAUGAAGAACUACUACUUUCAACAUUUGAAAAGAAUCAGAAAUAUCAAUGGAAUGGAAUGAAACAGUAGAAUUUUUCUUUUUUUGUUUGUAUUUUUUACAAUUCGAUCUCCCGAUAAAAAUGCCAGAAUGCUACCUUAUAUAUGCUCAACCAUAGGGCAGCCCUGCUAAUUCAACUUAUCCCCCUUAGUCCCCUUUGAAUUUUGAUUUUUAGCCUUAAUGCCCCUGGAUUUCUGACUUUCUACCCAAGUU